rnacentral:rRNA from 1 species
AAAGGAGUUAGCGAGUUUAACAAUGUCCUCUGACGUAAUAAGUUUCGUUGGAAAGGCUUGUGAAGUUUGCUUCUAAUCGUCUUCGGACAAUUACUUUGACUCUGGCCUCAAAUCAGGUAGGACUACCCGCUGAACUUAAGCAUAUCAAUAAGCGGAGGAAAAGAAACUAACAAGGAUUCCCCUAGUAACGGCGAGUGAACCGGGAAGAGCUCAAAUUUGAAAUCUGGCAGUCUUCGAUUGUCCGAGUUGUAAUCUAUAGAAGCGUUUUCCGUGCUGAACUGUGUCUAAGUCCCUUGGAACAGGGUAUCAAAGAGGGUGACAAUCCCGUACUUGACACAAUCAUCAGUGCUCUGUGAUACGUUCUCUACGAGUCGAGUUGUUUGGGAAUGCAGCUCAAAAUGGGUGGUAAAUUCCAUCUAAAGCUAAAUAUUGGCGAGAGACCGAUAGCGAACAAGUACCGUGAGGGAAAGAUGAAAAGCACUUUGGAAAGAGAGUUAAACAGUACGUGAAAUUGUUGAAAGGGAAACGAUUGAAGUCAGUCGUGUUCAUUGGAUUCAGCCGGUCUUCGGUGUAUUUCCUUUGAACGGGUCAACAUCAGUUUUGUCCGGUGGAUAAAGGUAGUAGGAAAGUGGCUCCUCCGGGAGUGUUAUAGCCUAUUGCCACAUACACUGGGUGAGACUGAGGACUGCAGCUUGCCUUUAUGGCCGGGGUUCGCCCACGUUCAAGCUUAGGAUGUUGACAUAAUGGCUUUAAAC